UUGCCAGACUCCUACGGGAGGCAGCAGUGGGGAAUAUUGCACAAUGGGGGAAACCCUGAUGCAGCGACGCCGCGUGAGUGAUGAAGUCUUUCGGUAUGUAAAGCUCUAUCAGCAGGGAAGAUAAUGACGGUACCUGACUAAGAAGCUCCGGCUAAAUACGUGCCAGCAGCCGCGGUAAUACGUAUGGAGCAAGCGUUAUCCGGAUUUACUGGGUGUAAAGGGAGCGCAGACGGCAGGGCAAGUCUGAUGUGAAAGUCCGGGGCUCAACCCCGGGACUGCAUUGGAAACUGUCCGGCUAGAGUGCAGGAGAGGUAAGUGGAAUUCCUAGUGUAGCGGUGAAAUGCGUAGAUAUUAGGAGGAACACCAGUGGCGAAGGCGGCUUACUGGGCCGUAAUUGACACUGAGGAACGAAAGCCAGGGUAGCAAAUGGGAUUAGAUACCCCCGUAAC
rnacentral:rRNA from 1 species